rnacentral:tRNA from 1 species
AGUAAUGAAGUAAAAUUACAUUUAGUUUCGACCUAAAAUUAGGGAAAACUUAACCCCUUACUU